rnacentral:rRNA from 1 species
GGACAGAUGGGAGCUUGCUCCCUGAUGUUAGCGGCGGACGGGUGAGUAACACGUGGGUAACCUGCCUGUAAGACUGGGAUAACUCCGGGAAACCGGGGCUAAUACCGGAUGGUUGUUUGAACCGCAUGGUUCAAACAUAAAAGGUGGCUUCGGCUACCACUUACAGAUGGACCCGCGGCGCAUUAGCUAGUUGGUGAGGUAACGGCUCACCAAGGCAACGAUGCGUAGCCGACCUGAGAGGGUGAUCGGCCACACUGGGACUGAGACACGGCCCAGACUCCUACGGGAGGCAGCAGUAGGGAAUCUUCCGCAAUGGACGAAAGUCUGACGGAGCAACGCCGCGUGAGUGAUGAAGGUUUUCGGAUCGUAAAGCUCUGUUGUUAGGGAAGAACAAGUACCGUUCGAAUAGGGCGGUACCUUGACGGUACCUAACCAGAAAGCCACGGCUAACUACGUGCCAGCAGCCGCGGUAAUACGUAGGUGGCAAGCGUUGUCCGGAAUUAUUGCGCGUAAAGGGCUCGCAGGCGGUUUCUUAAGUCUGAUGUGAAAGCCCCCGGCUCAACCGGGGAGGGUCAUUGGAAACUGGGGAACUUGAGUGCAGAAGAGGAGAGUGGAAUUCCACGUGUAGCGGUGAAAUGCGUAGAGAUGUGGAGGAACACCAGUGGCGAAGCGACUCUCUGGUCUGUAACUGACGCUGAGGAGCGAAAGCGUGGGGAGCGAACAGGAUUAGAUACCCUGGUAGUCCACGCCGUAACGAUGAGUGCUAGUGUUAGGGGGUUUCCGCCCCUUAGUGCUGCAGCUACGCAUAGCACUCGCUGGGGAGUACGGUCGCAGACUGAACUCAAGGAUGACGGGGCCGCACAGCGUGAGCAUGUGUUUAUCGAGCACGCGAGACUAACAGUCUGACAUCUCUGACAUCCUAGAGAUAGACGUCCAUCGGGGCAGAUGAAGUGGUGCAUGGUUGUCGUCAGCUCUGUCUGGAAUGUAGCUAAGUCCGCACGAGGCACUGACUAGUGCAGCAUCAUGACCUUAGGACUGCGUCAAACGUUGGGCACUCUAAGGUGACUGCCGGUGACAAACCGGAGGAAGGUGGGGAUGACGUCAAAUC